UCCCCGAUAGAUCAGACAGUAAAGUGUCUGUCUGCAAUGCAGAAAACUCAGGUUCGAUUCCUGGGUUGGGAA
rnacentral:tRNA from 1 species